UUUUUCCUACGGGAGGCAGCAGUGGGGGAUAUUGCACAAUGGGGGAAACCCUGAUGCAGCGACGCCGCGUGAGUGAAGAAGUCAUUCGUGAUGUAAAGCUCUAUCAGCAGGGAAGAAAAUGACGGUACCUGACUAAGAAGCCCCGGCUAACUACGUGCCAGCAGCCGCGGUAAUACGUAGGGGGCAAGCGUUAUCCGGAUUUACUGGGUGUAAAGGGAGCGUAGGCGGCCAGGCAAGUCUGGAGUGAAAGCCCGGGGCUCAACCCCGGGACUGCUUUGGAAACUGCAGGGCUGGAGUGCAGGAGG
rnacentral:rRNA from 1 species